UUGGAUUGAGAACAAUGUACUAGAGUUAUCGAUAAACAAUUGGAGGGCAAGUCUGGUGCCAGCAGCCGCGGUAAUUCCAGCUCCAAUAGCGUAUAUUAACGGUGUUGCAGUUAACAAGCUCGUAGUUGAAGUGUGGGGUAUAAAUGAAUUGACUUUUUCAAAGUGAAUGAAUGAAUACCCCCUCUCCAAUAAGUCUGUAUGGGUAUUAAGUUAUUUGUACUGGCUGCUGGUCAUUUACUGUGAGAAAAUUAGAGUGUUCAAAGCAGGCAUUUGCUUGAAUAUGUUAGCAUGGAAUAAUAAUAAAAGGCUUUUAUGGUCGAUUUAAUUGGUUUGUUCAUGAAAGCAAGAUUAAAAGGGACAGUUGGGGGUAUUCAUAUUCAAUAGUUAGAGGUGAAAUUCUCGGAUUUAUGGAAGAUGAACUAGUGCGAAAGCAUUUACCAAGGAUGUUUUCAUUAAUCAAGAACGAAAGCUAGGGGAUCGAAGAGGCUUAGAUACCCUCGUAGUCUUAGCUAUAAACUAUACCGACUAGGGGUUAGUAGAAGUCAUUGUGUUUCUAUUAGUACCUUAUGAGAAAUCAAAGUCUUUGGGUUCCGGGGGGAGUAUGGUCACAAGCCUGUAUCUUAAAGGAAUAGGCGGAAGGGCACCUCCAGGAGUGGAUCCUGCGUCUUAAUUCGACUCAACUCGGGGAACCAUCCAGCUCCAGACAUAGGAAGCAUUCCACAUAUACACGCUUUCUCGAUUCUAUGGCUGGUGGUGCAUGUCCGUUCUUAGUUGGUGGAGUGAUUUGUCUGGUUAAUUUCGAUAACCAGCGAGACCUCCGCCUGCUAACUAGUUCAUUGUAUUUUGAUAGAAUAAUCUUCUUAGAGGGCCCCUAUCCGUAUGAGUGUAGGGAAGCGGGAGGCAAUUACAGGUCUCUGAUGCCCUU
rnacentral:rRNA from 1 species